ACGGAAAGUAAGUUUUAGGCUUUGUCUUUUGUCCUUGUUUAACAAAAUCGAUCUAAAUUGUUACGUUUUUCUACCACUAAGUAAUGAUAAAUUAUUGUUAAUAAUUUUUUUAUUUUUUGGUUGCUCAGAAUGCAGGAAAGAGCAUUUCCAGGUUUCAAAUUCGAAAAAUUUUCUGGAGAUUAUGCCCCCACACACGUGGCCUUCGGCCAUUGGUAUCCCCCUCUAAUAAGUAUAAUGAUAAAUUACGGUUAAUAUUCUUUUUUACUUUUUGUGCAUUUUUUCCUUCUUUUAUUUCAAAUACAAGUAUAGUUAGCAUAAAUUUUAGAGCAAAUUUGGAUGCUCAGAAUGCAGGAAAUGGCAUUUCCG